UCCUCAGUAGCUCAACGGUGGAGCACUCGGCUGUUAACCGAGGGGUUGUUGGUUCGAAUCCAACCUGAGGAGCCA
rnacentral:tRNA from 1 species